ensembl:lncRNA
GACACAUUCCUCAGCUUGUCUCUCUCUGCGCACUGUUACCGGGAGGGGCGUUGAAAAUGUAUCUGUUCUCUGUAGCUGCUUGGGGAAGUGUAACCAGCAUAAGCAUACUGGACAAAUUUGGGUUGGUGAGUAUAUUCUUACAGCAAAAGGAGGCUCCAAAAAUAUUUUGUUAAUUCCAAAGAUUAGGAUGGAACACCUCCCCUGCAAGGACAGGCUGAGAGAUCUGGGGCUUUUCAGCCUUCAGAAGGGAAGGCUUCAGGGAGACCUAAUAGCAUCCUUUCAGCAUCUAAGGAGGUACAAUAAGAAAGAAGAGGGCAGACUUCAGCAGGGUCGGUCUUGAUAGGAGAAGAGGAAAUUGUUUCAAACUAAUGAGCUUGAUUGCAUAACUGGAAGCUGGGAUUUACUUGCUGAACUGAAACUUUGACAUUAAAAUCUUUCACAGGGAGAGAAUGUUUGUACACCAAACAUUGGAAAUUUGAAGACAAAGGUCUGCAUAUCUGGAGACUCAAGCAUGCACCGGGAACCUCACCUUACUUCAGUGCUAUUUGCAGGAAUGAUAUAGCUCGUGCAAGGGCAAGCUGGUUUGGAUAUUCAUCUGUCUCAACAUGUACAGCAUGUCUCUGUGCAAAGUUUUGAAGAUAACUUAUUGAACAAAAUCACUUAAAUGGAAAUGAAUAAAACCUUCUUCUUGUAAAAGAUAACAAAGAAGGCAAAGUGCACUUCAGGAAAACAACUUGCAGAAAAACUAUAACAGAUGUAACUAAGAUAUUCUUUUCAUUCUGUGUCUGUCAAAAGUAUUGCCAAGGUUUUCAAUAUUUUCAGUUCAUUAAAUAAAACGAUUAUGAUCUCACCCUAUUUCUUUCAAUUCCCCAUGAAACUAAAAGUCUAAAAGAGAAGAAAAAAUAAAUAAAAGACUGAUAAAAGAUCAAAACAGUGAUAUAUACUUACAGAAGGAACAGUAAACAGUAAAAGCUAUAUGGGUCAGAAAAUGUACCAACAUGACUAGGUCAAGAAGUAGCCAUUAAAUUUGCACCUGGAUAUGUUGUGGUUUGAGAGGAUUCAGUGUAGGCAGGCUACAUUACUUAGCAUCAGUUUUUCUUAACAUUGUCAUACACUUUGCUUGUGUUUUCAAACACAAUGGCCUGUUUUUAAUUGAUGUAUAUAUAUUUUACACACAGAAUUACUGAAACGAGGGUCAAAGACAGAACAUAAAAUCCUCUAAGCAAGGUUCUCCCACUGAUCAUUGCUGAAAGUAAAAAAGUGAAAAGAUCUAGGUUAUCUUUGCCUACACCAGUGUUAUUCAGUACCAAUGCCUCAGACAUGAUGCUUACAUGUGAAACACCUUUGCUAAUUUUGCUUUGCUCCUUUGUCAUUUGUAUUGUAAUUAAUUUUUUUUAAUGUAUCUGUAGGUAUCAAUUUCAUAUAACAGAAAAUGCAAAGUUAUCACUUUACUUAUUGUCUGCAUACCAUCUUUUCUCUGUCUUACUUUUUUUUCCUGACCCUCUCCUGAAAUAAAUUUUCUUGACAUUUCUGUCUUUGCUUUAUAAAUAAUUGUUGAUGGUUCAGCUCUUUUCCUGAAGCAUAAAUCUUACAUGAUUAUUAAAAGGUUUAACAUACACACUGGGUAAUGGAGAUACUUAGAAAAAGAUGGAUCAGACUUGUUUGUUUCUAACAAAUUGCCUGGAAAUAAAUUUUUCACUUCAUUCUUGGUUCAGUGUUGACGCUAAUAGGAAAGAAAAUCUAGUGUUGUACAAGUAUCUUACCACUCACAAAAUUUAUGCAAUUGUUAAUGUUUUAUAAGCAGCUUUAUAAAACAGUUUGAUUUUGUUUUGAUACAUUAGUAUUUCCUUUUUUUUUUUUUUUUUUUUUUUUUUUUUUAAUACUUAUGUAACUAUACAACUCAAAUACUGUUUUCCUUCCUCAAAAGGGUACAUUUUAGGCUGACUAGUUUACUUUGGAGGAACAUAUAAAGGAGCAACUGAGUUGCUAGGAAAAAGUGAGUGGUCUCAUAUUUGAUCUUUAAGGAUUUGGAAUAGAUGUUUAAAAUUAAGAAACUAGGCAGUAACAUGAUUUGAAGAGGCCAUCUGAACAAUCCUGCAUUAUAGCAAUAUUAAUCUCAGUUUUGCUGUCAACUUUGAAUCCUCAGGAAAACAGAACUAGGCCCUUUUCUUUCUUUUCCAGUCCUCGCAGAGAGCAUAAAUGGUUUUAAUUUGUAAAGACCCAUCUCCUACAGCUUAACAAAGUAUACAUGUGAACAAGUCGUUAUAAAAUACU